rnacentral:rRNA from 1 species
GACGAACGCUGGCGGCGUGCUUAACACAUGCAAGUCGAACGAAGUGGCGAACGGGUGAGUAAUGCGUAAUCAACCUGCCCUUCAGCGGGGGACAACAGUUGGAAACGUCUGCACAUACCGCAUACUGAAGGCGGGGUUUGCGUCUGAUUAGCUAGUUGGAGGGCUAAUGGACCACCAAGGCGAUGAUCAGUAGACGGACUGUGAGGGUGGACGGCAACAUUGGGAAUGGGACACUGCCCAGACUCCUACGGGAAGCAGCAAUGGGGAAUCUUCGGCAAUGGAAGAAAGGCUGACGGAGCAACGCCGCGUGAGUGAUGACGGGCUUCGGGUUGUAAAGCUCUGUUAAUCGGGACGCGGUACCGAAAUAGGAAGCCACGGCUAACUACGUGCCAGCAGCCGCGGUAAUAC